CUCUCCAGUGCGCAUGCGCGAGGCCGGAGCCGCCGCUUUGGUCACAGGGAUCACCACCGUUGCCCCGGGGUGAGUCCCUGAGACUGGGCCAAGUAGGAACCCUCUGUGACCGAGCGUCAGAGUCGGGGCUGAGAUCAGUCCUGGCCAGGGCAUUAACAGGAUGGUCUCGGAGGCCGGGAUUCGCGGAGGGUCGACCAGCAGGGAGAAGCCUCAGGAGGAAGAAACCUCAGACGGAUCGCCGGGGAGGCAGCGCGGGAUCCCAGCCUCAGGUACGGCUUGAAGGAAACUUCUGGAGGGUGGGGUGGUGUUGAAGAGAAGGCACAAUUGUCACCAUUUUGUUCAACAUGGGCGUUUUCUUUGUGCAUUGAUUUGCAUUUUUAAAGGAACUCCUCCUCAAAACAGAAGAAGCCUAUAGGAUUUUAACCUGGAAACUACUCAGGGAAUCUGGAAUAUUCCUUCCAGGGAUAUCUGCAGCUGAAACCUGGCAGUAAUUUAAACAAAACCAGACAACUCUUGGGGUAUGGUUGGAGCCUGAGGUCUACAGAUGGGUCAUUUUAUAUGCUGAGGUCUGAACAAGAUGAUUUUAACCCCUUAAAAUGAUGGAAACAAAAUAAAACAGAAUAAAUUAGAAGACAACACA
rnacentral:lncRNA from 1 species